rnacentral:ncRNA from 2 species
UUUUUAUACAGAGGCGUGGAGAGACAGGCUCGACGAUACGCCGACAACCCCCAGAAUGUCUGGAACGGUGCCAAAUCCUGAUCAUAUAAAAA